rnacentral:rRNA from 1 species
CGGGCGGACGGGUGAGUAACGCGUGGGUAACCUGCCUUGUACUGGGGGACAACAGUUAGAAAUGACUGCUAAUACCGCAUAAGCGCACAGUAUCGCAUGAUACAGUGUGAAAAACUCCGGUGGUACAAGAUGGACCCGCGUCUGAUUAGCUAGUUGGUAAGGUAACGGCUUACCAAGGCGACGAUCAGUAGCCGACCUGAGAGGGUGACCGGCCACAUUGGGACUGAGACACGGCCCAA